rnacentral:rRNA from 1 species
AGAACGAACGCUGGCGGCACGCCUAACACAUGCAAGUCGAACGGAUCCUUCGGGAUUAGUGGCGGACGGGUGAGUAACACGUGGGAACGUGCCUUUAGGUUCGGAACAACACAGGGAAACUUGUGCUAAUACCGGAUGUGCCCUUCGGGGGAAAGAUUUAUCGCCUUUAGAGCGGCCCGCGUCUGAUUAGCUUGUUGGUGAGGUAAAGGCUCACCAAGGCUACGAUCAGUAGCUGGUCUGAGAGGAUGGCCAGCCACAUUGGGACUGAGACACGGCCCAAACUCCUACGGGAGGCAGCAGUGGGGAAUCUUGCGCAAUGGGGGAAACCCUGACGCAGCCAUGCCGCGUGGAUGAUGAAGGUCUUAGGAUUGUAAAAUCCUUUCAGCGGGACGAUAAUGACGGUACCCGCAGAAGAAGCCCCGGCUAACUUCGUGCCAGCAGCCGC